rnacentral:rRNA from 1 species
ACGGUUAACGGAGCGAAAGCGACGUUCAACCGCAAAAGAAGCAGAGGGGGCUUAGUGGUGGGGUGACUGCGUACCUUUUGUAUAAUGGGUCAGCGACUUAUAUUCUGUAGCAAGGUUAACCGAAUAGGGGAGCCGGAGGGAAACCGAGUCUUAACCGGGCGUUAAGUUGCAGGGUAUAGACCCGAAACCCGGUGAUCUAGCCAUGGGCAGGUUGAAGGUUGGGUAACACUAACUGGAGGACCGAACCGACUAAUGUUGAAAAAUUAGCGGAUGACCUGUGGCUGGGGGUGAAAGGCCAAUCAAACCGGGAGAUAGCUGGUUCUCCCCGAAAGCUAUUUAGGUAGCGCCUCGUGAAUUCAUCUCCGGGGGUAGAGCACUGUUUCGGCUAGGGGGCCAUCCCGGCUUACCAACCCGAUGCAAACUGCGAAUACCGGAGAAUGUUAUCACGGGAGACACACGGCGGGUGCUAACGUCCGUCGUGAAGAGGGAAACAACCCAGACCGCCAGCUAAGGUCCCAAAGUCAUGGUUAAGUGGGAAACGAUGUGGGAAGGCCCAGACAGCCAGGAUGUUGGCUUAGAAGCAGCCAUCAUUUAAAGAAAGCGUAAUAGCUCACUGGUCGAGUCGGCCUGCGCGGAAGAUGUAACGGGGCUAAACCAUGCACCGAAGCUGCGGCAGCGAACGUAUCACUUAAAGCGAUUCAGCGGGUUACGAUUGACGGAGCGAAGCGACGUCAAAGCGUAUACAAAGUCGAGUCGGUUUA